AUUGAACGCUGGCGGCAUGCCUAACACAUGCAAGUCGCACGCGAAAGAGGGGCAACCCUUGAGUAGAGUGGCGGACGGGUGAGUAACGCGUAGGAAUAUACCUGGUAGUGGGGGACAACCCGGUGAAAACCGGGCUAAUACCGCAUACGAUCCACGGAUGAAAGCAGGGGACCGCAAGGCCUUGCGCUAUCAGAUUAGCCUGCGUCGGAUUAGCUAGUUGGUGAGGUAAUGGCUCACCAAGGCAACGAUCCGUAGCUGGUUCGAGAGAACGACCAGCCACACUGGGACUGAGACACGGCCCAGACUCCUACGGGAGGCAGCAGUGGGGAAUAUUGGACGAUGGGGGCAACCCUGAUCCAGCAAUGCCGCGUGUGUGAAGAAGGCCUUCGGGUUGUAAAGCACUUUCGGUGGGGACAAACGUGGCGAGGCUAACAUCCUCGUCCUUGAUGGUACCCAAAGAAGAAGCACCGGCUAACUCUGUGCCAGCAGCCGCCGUAA
rnacentral:rRNA from 1 species